rnacentral:rRNA from 1 species
AUUGAACGCUGGCGGCAUGCCUUACACAUGCAAGUCGAACGGCAGCAUGGAGAGCUUGCUCUCUGAUGGCGAGUGGCGAACGGGUGAGUAAUGCAUCGGAACGUACCGUGUAAUGGGGGAUAACGUAGCGAAAGUUACGCUAAUACCGCAUACGACCUGAGGGUGAAAGCAGGGGAUCGCAAGACCUUGCGUUAUACGAGCGGCCGAUGUCAGAUUAGCUAGUUGGUGAGGUAAAGGCUCACCAAGGCGACGAUCUGUAGCGGGUCUGAGAGGAGGAUCCGCGACCCGGGGACUGUGACACGGCCCAGACUCCUACGGGAGGCAGCAGUGGGGAAUUUUGGACAAUGGCGGCAACCCUGAUCCGGCCAUGCCGCGUGAGUGAAGAAGGCCUUCGGGUUGUAAAGCUCUUUCGGCCGGGAAGAAAUCGCACAGGCUAAUACUCUGUGUGGAUGACGGUACCGGCAUAAGAAGCACCGGCUAACUACGUGCCAGCCGCCGCCGUAA